UACGUAGGGACCAAGCGUUGUUCGGAUUUACUGGGCGUAAAGGGUGCGUAGGCGGCGUGUUAAGUCACUUGUGAAAUCUCUAAGCUUAACUUAGAACGGUCAAGUGAUACUGAUGUGCUAGAGUGCAGAAGGGGCAACCGGAAUUCUUGGUGUAGCGGUGAAAUGCGUAGAUAUCAAGAGGAACACCUGAGGUGAAGACGGGUUGCUGGGCUGACACUGACGCUGAGGCGCGAAAGCUAGGGUAGCAAACGGG
rnacentral:rRNA from 1 species